rnacentral:rRNA from 1 species
GCCAGACUCCUACGGGAGGCAGCAGUGAGGAAUAUUGGUCAAUGGGCGAGAGCCUGAACCAGCCAAGUCGCGUGAAGGAUGAAGGAUCUAUGGUUUGUAAACUUCUUUUAUAUGGGAAUAAAGUGAGGAACGUGUUCCUUUUUGUAUGUACCAUAUGAAUAAGCAUCGGCUAACUCCGUGCCAGCAGCCGCGGUAAUACGGAGGAUGCGAGCGUUAUCCGGAGUGACUGGGUGUAAAGAGUUGCGUAGGUGGCAUAAUAAGUAGCUAGUGAAAUCUGGUGGCUCAACCAUUCAGACUAUUAGCUAAACUGUUAAGCUCGAGACCGUUAGGGGUAACUGGAAUUUCUAGUGUAGGAGUGAAAUCCGUAGAUAUUAGAAGGAACACCAAUAGCGUAGGCAGGUUGCUGGGACGGUUCUGACACUAAGGCACGAAAGCGUAGGGAGCAAACGGGAUUAGAUACCCCAGUA